rnacentral:rRNA from 1 species
UAGGGAAUCUUCCGCAAUGGACGAAAGUCUGACGGAGCAACGCCGCGUGAGUGAUGAAGGUUUUCGGAUCGUAAAGCUCUGUUGUUAGGGAAGAACAAGUGCCGUUCAAAUAGGGCGGCACCUUGACGGUACCUAACCAGAAAGCCACGGCUAACUACGUGCCAGCAGCCGCGGUAAUACGUAGGUGGCAAGCGUUGUCCGGAAUUAUUGGGCGUAAAGGGCUCGCAGGCGGUUUCUUAAGUCUGAUGUGAAAGCCCCCGGCUCAACCGGGGAGGGUCAUUGGAAACUGGGGAACUUGAGUGCAGAAGAGGAGAGUGGAAUUCCACGUGUAGCGGUGAAAUGCGUAGAGAUGUGGAGGAACACCAGUGGCGAAGGCGACUCUCUGGUCUGUAACUGACGCUCAGGUGCGAAAGCGUGGGGAGCAAACA